GCCUACGGGGGGCAGCAGUGGGGAAUAUUGCACAAUGGGGGAAACCCUGGUGCAGCGACGCCGCGUGAGUGAAGAAGUAUCUCGGUACGUAAAGCUCUAUCAGCAGGGAAGAAAAAAAGUCUUUGGCUUUGGACGGUACCUGACUAAGAAGCCCCGGCUAACUACGUGCCAGCAGCCGCGGUAAUACGUAGGGGGCAAGCGUUAUCCGGAUUUACUGGGUGUAAAGGGAGCGUAGACGGCAGCGCAAGUCUGGAGUGAAAUGCCGGGGCUCAACCCCGGAAUUGCUUUGGAAAUUGUGCAGGUAG
rnacentral:rRNA from 1 species